GACGUAGGGCGCAAGCGUUGUCCGGAUUUAUUGGGCGUAAAGAGCUCGUAGGCGGCUGGUCGCGUCGACUGUGAAAUCCCACGGCUCAACUGUGUGGUCUGCAGUCGAUACGGGCUGGCUGGAGUUCGGUAGGGGAGACUGGAAUUCCUGGUGUAGCGGUGAAAUGCGCAGAUAUCAGGAGGAACACCGGUGGCGAAGGCGGGUCUCUGGGCCGAUACUGACGCUGAGACGCGAAAGCGUGGGGAGCGAACAGG
rnacentral:rRNA from 1 species